UUGUGCCUGGAGACCCCUUGGACAAGAGUAUCGUCAUCCGGCCCUUGGAGCCCCAGCCGGCACCUCACCUGGCCAGAGAGUUCAUGAUCAAGACCAGGCGCAGAAAGGGCUUGAGCGAGGACGUGAGCAUCAGCAAAUUCUUCGACGACCCUAUGUUGCUGGAGCUGGCCAAGCAGGAUGUUGUUCUGAACUACCCCAUGUGACCGUGCUGCCACAGAGGCUAACCAGAGACUGCUCCAGUGUCUGCCGGCCCAGCUCCUUCCCUUGUCCUGCAAACAUCUCCUCCCUCGCAGUCCAGCCUCCCUGGUACCGCCUGUGCCGUGUACUUCUGCUAAGGCCUCAGAAGGACCCUUACCCGCGAGCUUACAGGCUCUGGGUGUUUGGUCAGGAGUCUGCACUCGAGCGACAGAAUAUGGACAUGGCUGAUAUCACUCUUGGUCCCCUGCAGCCUGUCACUUCCGUUGCUGUGUACAAGUGAAUUUUAUAGUUGCACAAGGCAGUUCCAGGCCCAAAGGGGUUAAUUCCCACCCGUGUUCCCCCAGGGUUACUGGGGACAAACUGCACUUUCAUGCAGGGAUUUCAUGUUGGGUUCAGCCACCUGCAGGUGCCUCUGAUAAAGCUACGAGCUGCCGCCAAGCUCCUGCAGCCAGUGACAUGCGCAGGCUUCCCGGGCAGGGCAGAGCCUCUCCUGGGGUGCCAAGGAAGGGGGGUGGCCUGUGUCUGGGGGGUUGUUAGUGACCUUGCAGAGAACAGGUGGCGGGAGUCUGGACCUGCUGCCAGUCUGGAUUUUUAUUUCUAUUUUGUAGGAGUUUAUUUUUGAGCUUUGUAAUGACUAAAUAAAACCCCUCUCCCCUGG